rnacentral:rRNA from 1 species
AACGUAGGGGACGAGCGUUGUCCGGAUUUAUUGGGCGUAAAGAGCUUGUAGGCGGUUUGUCGCGUCUGCUGUGAAAUUUCGGGGCUCAACCCCGAACUUGCAGUGGGUACGGGCAGACUAGAGUGUGGUAGGGGAGACUGGAAUUCCUGGUGUAGCGGUGAAAUGCGCAGAUAUCAGGAGGAACACCGGUGGCGAAGGCGGGUCUCUGGGCCGAAAACUGGACGCUGAGGAGCGAAAGCGUGGGGAGCAAACAGG